CGGGGCUAAUACCGAAUGUGGUGUUCCGGCGCAUGCCGGAUUUUCUAAAGGUGCCACGGUUUUCCGUGGUGCCGCUUCAAGAGGAGCCCGCGUCCCAUCAGCUUGUUGGUAGGGUAACGGCCUACCAAGGCUUACGGGUAGCCGGCCUGAGAGGGUGAUCGGCCACACUGGGACUGAGACACUGCCCAGACUCCUACGGGAGGCUGCAGUCGAGGAUCAUUCACAAUGCGCGAAAGCGUGAUGAUGCGACGCUGCGUGGAGGAUGACGGCCUUCGGGUUGUAAACUCCUGUCAUGUGGGAAAAACGGUCCCGGGUUGAUAAUGCCCGGGAUGUGAUGGUACCGCAAGAGGAAGCCACGGCUAACUCUGUGCCAGCAGCCGCGGUAAUACAGAGGUGGCGAGCGUUGUUCGGAUUUACUGGGCGUAAAGGUGCGUAGGUGGUUUCGUAUGUCGGAUGUGAAAGCCCGGCGCUUAACGCCGGAACUGCAUUCGAAACUGCGGAACUCGAGUACAGGAUGGGAGAGCGGAAUUCUUGGUGUAGCGGUGAAAUGCGUUGAUAUCAAGAGGAACACCGGUGGCGAAGGCGGCUCUCUGGAAUGUUACUGACACUGAGGCACGAAAGCUGGGGGAGCAAACAGGAUUAGAUACCCUGGUAGUCCCAGCCGUAAACGGUGUGCACUUGGUGUGGGCGGUAUUGACCCCGCCCGUGCCGGAGCUAACGCGUUAAGUGCACCGCCUGGGGAGUACGGCCGCAAGGUUAAAACUCAAAGAAAUUGACGGGGGCCCGCACAAGCGGAGGAGCAUGUGGCUUAAUUCGAUGCAACGCGAAGAACCUUACCAGGGCUUGACAUCGGAGAGGCUUGCCUCUAAUGCGUGAAAGCGCAUGUACCAGACAGGUGCUGCAUGGCUGUCGUCAGUUCGUGCCGUGAGGUGUUGGGUUAAGUCCCGCAACGAACGCAACCCUUGUGCCUAGUUGCCACCGCAGGUGAUAAGCCUGCGAGCACUCUAGGCAGACUGCCUGUACAAACGGGAGGAAGGUGGGGACGACGUCAAGUCCGUAUGGCCCUUACGCCCUGGGCUGCACACGUGCUACAAUGGUCGGCACAGAAGGAUGCGAUACCGCAAGGUGGAGCAAAUCCCCAAAGCCGGCCCCAGUUCGGAUUGGAGUCUGCAACUCGACUCCAUGAAGUCGGAUUCGCUAGUAAUGGCGCAUCAGCUACGGCGCCGUGAAUACGUUCCCGGGCCUUGUACACACCGCCCGUCACAUCAUGAAAGCCGUCUGCACCCGAAGUUGCCGAGCCAACCCUCACGGGAGGCAGGUACCGAAGGUGUGGGUGGUGAUUGGGAUGAAGUCGUAACAAGGUA
rnacentral:rRNA from 1 species